rnacentral:tRNA from 1 species
UGGCUCAGUCAGAAGAGCACAAGAUUCUUGAUCUUGGGGUUGUGAGUUCAAGCCCCAC